ACCCUCUCAGGAUAGCACCUGGAGAGUUUCCAGUACUCCAACAGUGUUGGCUACAGGAGGGAGAGUCAAGCAAAAGACUAACCAUUCCAUUCCUAGCUUGGCCAGUGGCUAGUGAGUGGAAGGCAAUCUGCUACAAGU